GCGUCGGUGGCGGAGUGGUCAAUCGCGGCGGUCUGUAAAACCGCUGACUUUAUGUCUACGUUGGUUCAAAUCCAACCCGACGCA
rnacentral:tRNA from 1 species